GGGGUCGUGAGGUAACCUGGUAUCCUGCGAGCUUGGGGUGUUCGUAAUCUGAGUUCAAAUCUCAGCGGCCCCA
rnacentral:tRNA from 1 species